GUGGGACUCUUUAAAACCAAGAGGACUCCCUAAUUCCUGUUACCUGCGAUGCCCCGGGAGGAUUAUAACUGGACUGCCUGAGUCAAGAGAAGUUCAUGAAGUAAGAAAGAGCGUGAUUGGUCAGCGGGGCGAGGGCGUGUGUCUGGAACUCGAUUAUUGGGGAAACUCUAAGGAGGACCGAGAGUUUGCCUGCGGAGCGCUGUGCUCUGAGCAGUAGCUGGUGGAGAAACCUGGAGGGAUUGUAUUGCUCAAAUUCUGCCUUGAAUUCUAAACAAGGGUCUUUCUCUAGAGUCAGUAGCAGAACAAUCCAUAAAUCUUCACAGCAUUUGGUCAUUUUUUUGUUUCAACAACAGGACAAGAGAAAGUGAACCCAGCCUUGUAAUUACCACAUAGAUGAAGAAACAGACCUGGGCCAGGCACAGUGGCACAUGCCUGUAAUCCCAGUGAUUUGGGGAGCUGAGACAGGAGGAUCGCAAGUUCAAAGCCAGCCUCAGCAAAAUG